rnacentral:rRNA from 1 species
GAUACGUACUACAUGGAUAACUGUAGUAAUUCUAGAGCUAAUACAUGCCACUAUGCCCUGACCCGCAAGGGAACGGGUGGAUUUAUUAGAACAGAACCAACCGGUUGUGGCUUCGGCUGCUUCCGUUGCACUCUGUGAUGACUCUGGAUAACUUCACUGAUCGCAGUCGGCCUUGUGUCGGCGACGGAUCUUUCAAAUGUCUGCCCUAUCAAUUUUCGAUGGUAGGUGACCUGCCUACCAUGGUGAUAACGGGUAACGGGGAAUCAGGGUUCGAUUCCGGAGAGGGAGCCUGAGAAACGGCUACCACUUCCAAGGAAGGCAGCAGGCGCGCAAAUUACCCAAUCCCAGCACGGGGAGGUAGUGACGAAAAAUACGGAUACGGGACUCAUCAGAGGCUCCGUAAUUCGAAUGAGUACAAUUUAAAUCCUUUAACGAGGAUCCACUGGAGGGCAAGUCUGGUGCCAGCAGCCGCGGUAACUCCAGCUCCAGAAGCGUAUAUUAAAGUUGUUGCAGUUAAAAAGCUCGUAGUUGGAUCUGGGUCGCAUGGCUACAUGCCGUUACUUGCAUUUCUGGUCUGGUUGCGAUCAGAUCGGGUUUGUGGUUCGGUGUCGUGGUUGUGCAGCCUUUCUGCCGUGUCUGUUUUACAGGUGCUGGUUAUCGGCAAGUUCGCUUACCUUUAGCUGGCAUGCUUCUUGAUGCCCUUAACCGGGUGUCGGAUGCGGACGGCACGUUUACUUUGAACAAAUUUGAGUGCUCAAAGCAGGCCCUUGAGCCUGAAAAUUCUUGCAUGGAAUAAUGAAAUAGGACUUCGGUUCUAUUUUGUUGGUUUUCGGAUCCGAAGUAAUGGUUAAGAGGGACAAACGGGGGCAUUUGUAUGGCGGUGUUAGAGGUGAAAUUCUUGGAUCACCGCCAGACAAACUACAGCGAAAGCAUUUGCCAAGGAUGUUUUCAUUGAUCUGGAGCGAAAGUCAGAGGUUCGAAGACGAUCAGAUACCGUCCUAGUUCUGACCAUAAACGAUGCCAACUGACGAUCCGCGGUGGUUCUUUUAUUGUCCUCGCGGGCAGUCCCCGGGAAACCUUUAAGUUUUGUCUCCAGGCAA